CUUCCAGUAACACCUUAGAGACCAACUAAGUUUGUUAUUGGUAUGAGCUUUCGUGUGCAUGCACACUUCUUCAGAUACCUUCAGAUAUCUCACACCAAUAACAAACUUAGUUGGUCUCUAAGGUGCUACUGGAAG